UGAAACUGCAGUGGAGGGCUUUCAUAACAGAAACAUUAGCUUCAUUGUAGCUUGUUGCGGAAAACAGGGAGCUUUUUAAAGGUGGUUCAAAAGCAUCGGUUGGGGCUCAACAAUUUUCCCUUUUUCCCCAAAUGCUGCUUCUACUAGCACGUUGGCCAGAUCAUAGAAUCUCCCAUACUAAUGCUUCAUCUUUUUACUAAAGCACAGGAAACCCUAGAGUAAAGGCUUUGUCCAGAAAGAUGGAUGUGAAACUGAUGGAAAGUGACAUCUGGGAAAUGAUCCCCAGUUCUGCGUUCAUAUCUAAUGGGAAGCCACAAAUGCAGAAUCAUCCUCCCAAGACUGGGAGUAUGCAGAUGAGGCUCUCCUAGCAACGUGAAAUCCCCCACACUUCAGCCCGUGCCCUCUUUCUCUCUCGCUCUCUCUUGGAUCACUCACUGUAAGGAAGCUAGUAGCUGCCAUGUCCGAAGGCCGCCCUGUGAAGAGGAACUGAGGCCUGCCAACAACCACAUAAGUUAGCUUGGGAUACUUCCCCCUUCGUCUCUGCUAAUCGAGCCUUCAGAUGAGACCUUCAACCCCAGCCAGCAGCUGCCUCAGCGAGAGCCCUUGAGGAAGAAGCAGCCGGCUAAGCUGCCUCGAUUCCUGACCCACAGAAACUGUAAAAGCAUCUAUCCUGGUCCUGAGGCCUCAGCACACGCAGGGGCGGUGGGGUCCAACCUCGGUCCUAGAAGAAGAGGUGGAAAGAAGGGCUUUCGAGCCUGACAGCCGGAAGAGGUAAGUGAUUUCAGUGCAGGUCUAAAACUAGAAAGAAAGGCUUGUGGUCCUGCUGCUGAAGAGCAAGUCGUGGACAAUCCCCGAUAAGAAUCACCUCCACACUGCUUCCAGGGCUACAAAGAACAUUCUGUCCACGUGAUGCUAUCUCUCUCUCUCUCAACAUCAUUUCCUCUCUGACUGGAGCAAAUUAUUUACUUUGAAAACACAAAACAAAGUUCUAUGAAGCGGGAGAGAUGUUACACUCCUGCAUCCCUAACUAGGGCAGGCGUCUACUUGUGGUUGCCCCCCCGCCCCCGCCUCAGCCAGUCACGUACAAGCUGGCGAUCGUAGAGCCCAUUUCUGUUUUCUCUCCAGAGACACUCGGCUCUGAUUUUUCUCACGUGCAGUGGCCACAGCUGCUGUGUUGCCAUGCCGUCAUCCGGUUGCUAUGACUUGUGAGGUUGUGGAUAUGCCAGAACGUGAAUCUAUUAAUUUAACAGGAACUAGGCUCAGCACAUAUAUUCCUUGUUAGGUCAUUUGCUUUGCUACCUAAACCACAUCCAAUGUGUUCAGCAACGGGAACGUUUCCUAGAGCCCGGCUUUGCAAAAACGCCAAGUGCCCUGGAUGUUUGAGUCUGCAGCAGUCAGUUUUACGGCAUUAAAUUACUGUGGAGGAGAACACAAAGGCAUUCUGGCCCCGGGAUGCCAACAGGUCAGCUUCGGAGAAAAAUCAAAGGAGGGGAAAUAAAGUCCCUGGCCUUCAUUCUUUGCCCACCGAGGUCCAUUCCGCGGGAGGUAUAUGAACUAACUUCCACAGGGAUCCCACCCUGAGCCCAGGUCUCUCACUGACAAGGUCCAAGCUCUCCAACCCCAGAACUAGGGGACGUGUGCCAUGAAAAGAGAAACCACUGGCCUUUUUUCCUUCACUCCUUCGAUGAACACUUCCUGGAUGUCUGCUGGUAGCCGUGCUAGGAAUGCGGAGAUGAAAGGGACAAAGUCUCUCCCUAGUGGGAGAGAAAGACAUGUAAAUUACAGCGUGACAUGAGAAGCUUCACACAGGGCACCGUGAGAUCCCAGAGAAGGAAGCAAGUAAGUCUGCCUGGGGACAGGAAUGAUGGGCUGCCACCAGUGUUCUUCCUUUUCUGAAAAAAAAAGACUACGUUAAAAAUGAUCAGAUGUUGGGGCGCCUGGGUGGCGCAGUCGGUUAAGCGUCUGACUUCAGCCAGGUCACGAUCUCG